AACGAACGACUGGCGGCGUGCUUAACACAUGCAAGUCGAAACGCGAAAGGGACUUCGGUCCUGAGUAAAGUGGCGCACGGGUGAGUAACGCGUAGAUAACCUGUCUUCAUGUCUGGAAUAAUACGCCGAAAGGGGUACUAAUACCGGAUAUUCUUGCUUUUCAUAAGUUAUGCAAGCAAAGGUGGCCUCUGCAUAUGCUACUGCAUGAAGAGGGGUCUGCGUACCAUUAGCUAGUAGGUGGGGUAAUGGCCUACCUAGGCGACGAUGGUUAGCGGGUCUGAGAGGAUGAUCCGCCACACUGGCACUGGAACACGGGCCAGACUCCUACGGGAGGCAGCAGUGAGGAAUAUUGCGCAAUGGGGGAAACCCUGACGCAGCGACGCCGCGUGAGUGAGGAAGGCCUUCGGGUCGUAAAGCUCUGUCAAGAGGAAAGAAGUGUACAAUGGCUAAUACCUGUUGUAUUUGACGGUACCUCUAAAGGAAGCACCGGCUAACUCCGUGCCAGCAGCAGC
rnacentral:rRNA from 1 species